GACGAACCGUGCGAACGUUGUUCGGAAUCACUGGGCUUAAAGGGCGCGUAGGCGGCUUGCUAAGUCAGGGGUGAAAUCUUUCGGCUCAACCGGAAAAGUGCCUUUGAUACUGGCAGGCUCGAGGGAGGUAGGGGUAUGUGGAACUUCCGGUGGAGCGGUGAAAUGCGUUGAUAUCGGAAGGAACGCCGGUGGCGAAAGCGACGUACUGGACCUCUUCUGACGCUGAGGCGCGAAAGCUAGGGGAGCAAACGGG
rnacentral:rRNA from 1 species